GUGUUCACUUUGUCAGCACAUAUACUAAAAUUGGAACCGUACAGAGAUUAGCAUGGUCCCUGCGCAAGGAUGACAUACAAGUUGGUGAAGCAUUCCAUAUUUUU
ensembl:snRNA LOC120099399 U6 spliceosomal RNA